rnacentral:lncRNA from 1 species
UUUUAUUGGACUUAAAGAAAUAGAAGGCAGUGAAGGUCUUUGGAGAAAUGCCAUGGCUUCAUUGUGACGGCGGCGACAAUCAUAGAACUCAUUACAGAAAAUGAGCUCGAAUCUUGCAUCUUGUUCUGCAAUGGUUGCAUCUAAAAUAGUUUCAAAUAAUUAGAAAGUUAUAAACUUUAUACAAAAAAAAACUCAAAAUCAUCUCAGAGAUUAAAGAUUGAAACUAUAUGCAUAUAUACAGAAAAAUAUGUUACAAGAAAACUAUAUUAAUCAUGGGGAAAAAAACAAAGAAAUAGCAAACACGUGCAAUGUCCUCCAAAUUUCGAUCCUCAUGUACUGAUCACAAGAAGGUAAUAGAACAAGGGAUGAAAAAGAGAGCAAUGACAUACGCCCAUACAAAUAUUUUAUUCCAUUUAUGAAGAAACGACCUUCAAGGAUCGAGAAUUUCCUUCCCAGAUCCCACAUUUUGGCCCGAAACCUAGUCAGUGAGACCGAUUCCAAUCCUUCUGUGAAACUUUUAGUUCUUUCAGAAGCACUUCCAACCCUCUUUGUAAUUUGUCUACAAGAGUACAACAUUGAUCUAAGUUUGGUUGGUUGCGCUCCAUAUUCAGUAGGAGAUUGCCCGCUUGAGCUUUUUACAGAUUCCAAUCCUGAAACCUGAAUUAGAAAAAAAAACUAAGAAUCAGAACAUAAUAAUGCACGAGAAGUAAUGUGAUACGUCAAACUGUUGCAAAGCAACAGAACUAAUAAGAACUAAAUACAUAGAAAAUCUUCCACGACGUAGUUGGAAGGCAAUAAUGCUCCAUUCGAUAAGCAAGGUAUGGUAAAAUUUAGCGUGGGAGCUCAUGCAUAAAGAUGCUUUUUCAAAGCAUUUCUUUAAAAAAGAACCAUCUGGAAUAUCCAUAGAAUUACCACAAUUACCCAAUAGUGAUUGACCAUUCUCUAAUCUAUCAAGAAACAAUACACGUGUCAAAGACAAGAAGGUCUAGGUGUUCCAAAACAAUACAAUUGAUUUCUUCAGCAUAAACCUUGUGAAACCUUGCUACCUCAAAUUGCCUCAAGGAAAAGCAAGUGAUAAGGGCCAUCGAGAACUAACCUCAUAAACCUAUAUUGCCAAAAAUUUAUCAUUUUAGCUCACGUGAGAAAUCUGUGGAACGACAUAUCUACUACUAAACUAUUGAAAAAAAAGGAAUUCAUUGAAAAUUUUCUUAUGAUUGAGUUGAUCAAGAUAAAGCCCUGGAGGAUAAUCAUUACAACCAACUGAUUAUGUUGUCUUCUAUAAUUGAAUCAUAACCCUUAGAAGUAAAUAACCUACGUUUCAGUCAUCUAUUAACCAUAAUAGUGGAAAUUGUACUUAUCUGAAGCAAGUCAAGUAGAAAAUUACGGCAAAAAAUGGAUACAAAAAUGUAAGGCAAGUAAAUAACAAAUCAGUAAACAUGUUAAUCACCACUAAAAUUGUUCCGCAACAACUCAAAAAGAAGAUAGCAUCUUAAGUGUAAUACCUUAAUAUAAAAAAAAAAAAAAAAAAAAAAAAAAAAAAAAAAAAAAAAAAAAAAAGGGAACUAAAAAGAAAAAAAAAUAAAAAAAUAAUGAGGCGGUGGAUUGAUUUAUACACACAACACACACACACAAAUGAAACAAACUAGAGAAGAAAUGAGAAAGAGAAAAAGAGAGGGAAAAGAGAGGGAAAAGAAGGAAAAAAAAAAGGAGAAGAGGAAUAAAAAAAUAGGUAAGUUCACCUAUGCUGUUAGAAAAUAAGUAGUCUACAUUAUUAGACUUGAAUUCCCCAAUUUUGAAAGGUAAAUAAAAAGUUACUUAUUAUCAAGUUAUGUUUGAUUUUAUAGUUGUUAGAUUAUUAGAUUAACUUCAAUGUUAUUGAAGGGGUUAAAGAAAAACUAGUUUUAAUGAUUAAAGAUAUUAUAGAAAAUCGCUCAAACGUGAAAUAAUUAAGUUUGGGUAUCGCCUAUUUAAUUAUUGAAAUUAUUUAAAUAGUUAAUUGUUUAUUUAAAAAUUAUAUUGUAUUCCAGGCGACGAUACUGAUAUCAGAAUAGCUAACCAAUUGGAUUGAUUUUGCGAAUAUUGUACUGUGAGUGGAAAAAUAUAAAUAAUUUUAAAGUAUUUAUAAAUUAAGUAUAUUGUUAAAGUAUGUGAAAUUUUAUGCAAUUAUGUGUUCGAAUUACAUGGUUAUUAUGAAAAUAUCUUUUAUUAUGAUAGAUGUGGGAUUUCAAAGAUUGUAUACGUUACAUUGUGACUUGGUAUAUGAGACAUGUGAUAUUGAGAUUCGUUUGGUAUGUGAGAUGUGAUAUUGAGAUCGACCAGAAAAGUACCCAUGAUUAUAUACUUCUUCUAGUUCACAGAGGGGUCUUGGCCGUGUUCUAUCCUACACGGAGGGUCUUGACCGGACAUUGGUCUUGAUCGUGUACAUAUAGUUUACAGAGGGGCCUUGGCCGUGUUCUAGAAUUGAUUAUGAGAGGUUUUUGAGACCGAUUUUCGUUCACGGAGGGGGCCAAAGGCCCGUGGUUAAAGUUCUUAGCCCGGGGGCGGAUUAUAUAUUUCAGUCAGAGGGUACAUUUUUGGUGGAUUUUUCAGCACGUUUGACGUGAUGAGAUUAUAGUAUUAUCAGCUGAUGUUUAUAUCAUAAUUUUGAGAUGAUAUUUUACGACCUUAUGUGAAUAUUUCACUUUUGGCUAUAAUUACAUGACGGUAGCUUGUGAAUUAUCAAAUGAUAUGAAUUUGAUUUUCAAUAGAAAUGUAAAAUUGAAAAAGUAUAAUUAUUUUCGAACUUAUCCACUCACUGAACUAUCAACUCAUAUAUUUUCCCACGAUUUUUCCUACAGGUAGCAAUUGAUUCUUUUUAAGAAAGAGCAUAAUGAUUUCGGAAUGAGAGCCACACAACAUGUUGAAUAUUAUAACUCACAUUGAUAAAGCACGAAUUAAAUAUUUUGGGCCCAUCGCAUUAUAUUUUACAUAAGCAUUUGAUUUUGUUGCAUUUUUUGAAAUAACUCUUAGUUAGCCUUGGUGAUAAAUUUGACAUCUAGUCAGCAUCUAUCAUCGGCGCACGUCACGUUUCGAGUCCACUAGGGUGAUUCGGGACGGGUCGUGUCAUUAAGCAUAACUUUUAAAGGAAUGCAUUAACUUAGAGGUAUAUUCAUCUCAAGUCAUGUCUCUCAUUUCAAGAAAUGAUCGUAUUUUAACCAAACAAAACCAAAGUCCAAAUUAAAUAGUUCACGAAAUUAGAAAAAAAUCUCAAUAAGCCUUUGGUUGUCAAUCAUUCUACAACAUUAUUUUUUAACAAUACUUAUUUUCAACCACACAUUCUUUAUUAAAAUAAUAUUAUACAUAAAUAAAAAAAUUUCCUUCUUUUUUAAUCAAUAUUUCGACAUCAAUUACUAUUCCAUAAUACACUUUUUGAAAUUAAAGGGCACAAACAGGCCCUAAGAAAUAAAUGAAGGAAAUUACAAUCAAGCAAUGCCUCAAAAUGAUAUUACCGUCAAAUUAAAACCAAACAAACUAAAAAUUCCAAAUUUCAAGUUGUUGAAUAAGACUAUAAAUUGACUUCAAUGAACAUAUUUUCUUCAAACCUCAUAGAAAGAGUAGCUAAAAAACAAUUGAAAAAUUUCCAAAUUAUUUAAAAAAGUGCAAAUCUAACCAUAAAAAAUAUGAUUCUUCCAAAAAUAAACUCUAGAGCAACUAAAAAUAAAAUCAUAGCUCACCAGUCAUUAAAGAGCUAUGCUACAAUGACAAAUGUGGUUUACAAAGUUAGGUUGCAAAAUCAAAUCUACACAAAUCAUUUCAAAAAUAGAUUUUUAAAUCAUUUGAAAUCAAGAGUCCAGAUUUUGCCAAAACACUUUGGCACUCCACUUUUGUACACCAACUUUGUAGGAGUAGAAUUAUUCGUCUUUAAAAUAUGAGUAAGAAAAGUUCAUUGUGAGGAAAAAAAAAUUUGUGUGUAGAAGUGGUGAAGGACUGUGACAAGAAAAAGACGCCAUGCUUGAGGGUGGAAAAACAAAGGAUAAAAUGAUUUAAGGGGAAAAAAUAAUGCAAAAAUUAAUAUACACAUUAAUGACAUCAGGACGACGCUUUAUGAAUAAUAACCAACUUUGUUCUUUUAUAAAUUGUAAGGAUUAUACAAUUAGGAAGAAAAAAUGUAGUAACUAAGUUUUAAACAAAGAUAAAACACUACUAGAAAAUGUUGCAACAAAGACGGACUUUUAGUGACAGUCAUCUUCCGUUGCGACUACCAACGGAUUAACAACGACUUAUCAUUUUAUUAUUUUUAAAAAUUACAUAUUAAUUUAACGACAUAAUCGUUGGUACAAUAUCCAUUGCUAAUCUGCAGGUAAAAAAUUUAAAAAUAAAAAAAUAAUAAAUUAUAUAAUUGAGUGACAGAAUUUCUCAACGGAAAAAUCUGUUGCUAAUUAGCAACGGAAAUAUGCGUUGGUAAACACCGACAGCUUCUUUCGUCGCAAAAUUACCGACGACUUUAGUAAUUAAACGCUAAAUUAGCGACGGGGUUAUUAUCGACGGAUUUUCCGACCAAUUAAUUCUGUUUGUGAAAGUCAUUAGCGACGGAAUUUUAGGCAUCAGUGACAGAAAUUUUCAUCUCUGAAGCCGCAUUUUUUUUGUAGUGAAACUGUCUAUAAGAAGAUAGUGAAUAGUUAUUUACAAAUAUGUAUUUGAAAUUCAUAAGUAAAAAGGAAUCUAUAAAUUCUAUCGAAACAAAAUCUAAAUUUGCCUAGCUUUAAUUUAAGGCUACCUGAAGUCAUUUGCAAAAGUGAUCGAAAUCCAGAUGUAUUCAGUUAACUCAUGUUCUAACUACGAAACUCCAGCUUGUUGUUUCCAAAAAAAAAGACAUUUUUACGGAGGGUGGAAACUACAAAGCAUGAAACAUCAUUUAAUUGCCAAGGGAAAUAACCAAAUACGGUGAAAGAAAAGACUCCCUAAUUUGAACUACUGCACCUAAAUCUUAAUCUAAUAAAUCCUAUCACCUAAUUGGACAGUGAUUGCAAUUGAUACUUUAAGUUUUUUAUUUAAUUGUACAAAAGAAGUCAGUCACAAGCAAGGAUAAAUGAGGGGCAUUGUGCUAAGUUCAUAGUCAGCACAAAACUUUGUCAACUAUUACAUGAAUCCUUACAAAUUUGUUGAACUGAGUGGCAAGAGAGUACUAAUGCAACUCACUCUAAAUUUAUUUACCAGCUAAAAUCAUUUCAAUUUUCAAUGAAUGAGAAAAUUUUCAUUUUCAUUUCUCAAAAACUGAUUAAAAAAAUUAGAAAGAUCUAAAUAAAAUAACACCAAUAUAAGCAUACAAUAAUGAACAUAAUACUACAUCUAAAUCAAGAAAUUCAGAUAUGGAAAAUUUAGAAAUUCUACUUAUUAAGUGUGACUUCCAAAGUAUCCCCCCUCUGAUCCAUAUUUUGUUCUUGCACCAUUUCGUUCGCAUUAAACAAAACCAACAACAAUGACACAUUUUUCCUGCAUAAGUUAAAAAGGAAAAUAUUAACACCCAACAACGUUAAUCGUUUCAUGUAUUGCCUUAUCCAGUAAGCAUAACUACAUACUAACAUCAAAUCCCCUUCACCAUCACCAUUGUCAGAGUUCUUGGCAGCACAUAGUAUGAGCUUUAUACAAGUAAAAUCAAGGCAUCAAUUCACAUGGUAAACUAAAAAAUAAAAAUAAUAACCCGUCCAUGACAUCAUCACUGGUAGAUAAACUGAACCUUAAGCAAUUAACAAUAUUAGUAAGCUAGCAAGGAAUUUGCAACUUAUUUUCACUUAUUGCUUCAGAAAACAAUUAAUUGGCAUACAGUUACAACUUUGGAACUUGCUUGUAAAAGGAGAAAUUUUUCAUUGAACUCAAUUUACUACUUGUGGACUAUAUUCAUUGUUCUUCCCUUGUGUUUGGAAUUGUUAUUCAAUUAUCAAUCUCUCUUAUGUAAUCGAUAUUUCAAAGUUCCACCAAACCUAAAAUAAUUCUGUUUGCAGAAGUAUCAAACUCUUUCUGUUAGACCAUUGAACCUUUACCAACAACUACAUCAUCAUUUUAUUUCUUAUGAAGUGCCUUUUACCACGAACCAACUCGUCUCAAAUCAAUGAAACACUAUAUUUACUCCUUAUACAGAGACAAUAUAAAAUUGAUAUGAGAAAAAUGUAAAUUAAUUUAAGAAAUAAUAAUAAUUUUUUUUUAUUUUUAUUAGUACUUCAUCAUUCUAAGUAGUAAAAAGAUGGAUAUAAGCAUUUACUGGGAACAAAUUAUAGUAGUAAUCUCCUAUUGUCAGCAUCCAGUCCCAUGAAAUAAGGGAUCCCAUUCCAAGAGACCAACAUUGCCUUGUAUUUUCCCUGAUACAAAAAAUUCCUGUAAGAAUUUUAAUAUCUCAAAAAUGAUUAAAACAAAAGAAAAAUAAAGGGAAAUUGCAGUUGCAGUCCCUAGCCUUUCACUUUUUUGUAGACUUUACCCUAACCUUCACUUUGUGCCUCCCACAAUCCCAAACCUUCCAAUAAUAUACACCAGGGGUCCAAAUGGAUGGUAGUUGACCAACAAAAUUGAAUUUUGACCAAUUUAUAAGGGUAAACGAGUAUCUUUGCUAUUUAACCUUAUAAAACAAUUAAAAUAAAUGACUAAAAAAAAAAAAAAACUAUUUAUCUCCUUCUUUUCCCCACCCCACCGCACGGCCCCCAACUGUCACCCAAAUCCACUGCCCAAAUCCACCUCAUCUUGUUAUAGUUUAGCCAUUUUUAAGGUUUAAGUACGAUUUAGAAUUUUGCAAAUAGGAACAGCAAAAAGAAAAUGGCCUGUGGUUUUAGCUCAGUCGACUUGCCUCAAGGUUUUCGAUUUCAUCCUACAGACGAAGAGCUUAUAACUCAUUAUCUAUCUCCAAAAGUACUUAAUAGCAACAUCUGUACCACAAUCAUUGGAGAAAUGAAUUUGAGUAAGAUUGAACCCCCUUGGGAUUUGCCAUCUAAGUUUUAAUUUUAAACAUAACGAGAGUGUUCUUGAUCCUUUGAUUUUCCUUUGUUUUAAUGCCGAAUCUUUGGAAUUGAAGGGAAGGCGAAAAUGGGUGAAAAACAAAGCCACAAAUUCUGGUUAUUGGAAGGCAAAAGGCAAAGAUAAAGAGAUUUUCAAGAUGAAAGUCCUAGUCGAGAUGAAGAAAACUCUCUUUUGUCUCCUUGCCAGUUCCACCUGUAUAUGUUCUCUAUUCUGUUUCAAACAGUGGUGAUUUUUGGCAAUGGAUUUGGGCGAUGGGAUGGGGGUGGGGUAGAGUGAAGAAGGAGAUGAAUAGUAUUUUUUACUUUUAUUUUGUUUUAGUUAUUUAUUUUAAUUGUUUUACAGGGUUAAAUAAUGAAGUUAUCCUUUUAUCCCUUUAAAUUGUUCAAAAUUGAUCAAAGUUAAUUUUAUUUGUCAACUAACGGUCAAAUGGACUGUUUCUAUCCAUUUGGACCCCUAGUGCAUAUUAUUGAAAGAUUUGGGAGGUGGCUCGGACGAAGUGAAGGUUAGAGUAAAGUCUAUAAAAAGGAAAAAUGUCAGGGGCCGCUACUGUAAUUUUCUCGAAAAAUAAUUACAAGAACCUCAAGCCUGCUUAAACUUAGAACUCCAAUUGAAUCAAGAUUAGUCAGGGCUGCCCAUCUUCUAUUCAUACCGCAUAACGUACAAAAGAAAAUAAAUAUAAUGAACAGUAAAAAUGCCAAAUCUCAAAAACAGUAGAAAAAAUACCCAAAAAUUUACCAAUUCUCUAGAAGAAAAUGAAAACCUUGGUUGAAUAAUCAAGAAUGGCAUGUAAUAUGAACAAAGAAAUGAACCGUUAUCAAGAUUAAGACAUGGACGGACUUUUGAUUUUGGAGGGUUUGUAGUAGAUGUUGACUGCUGAAGUAUAAAAAAGAGAUUCAGGUAUGGGCUUGAUAAAGAGCCAUGCGUCUAACGUGGAGAAAUGAAGAAGACUGACCGAUGAAGAAUAAAUCAAGUAAAUGACAUCGUUUCGGGUUCCAAAAUUUUAAAAAAUUAUGACAUCAGCAUGCUGCGUUGUGAACAAUUACAAAAGUUUGCUCUUUUAUAUAUUGUAGUGAUUUACUAAAAUUUUGAUUUUAAUCAUUGCCAAACAGAGGCUAAGUAUGACACGCUCCACCUCGUGUAAUGCUACAAUUACAAUAUGCCAUUUUUCAUAAAUCAUUUUUAAUAGAAUUUCGGUAUUAUCUUCCCUGUAAAUAGGACUAACUCACCUGUGAUUCGCUACACAAAUCUCAAAUAUAACAAAACACAAUAGAGAUAAGCCGAAAUCUCAUCUUUUACCAAGGAAAAUAACAUGAAAUGUAUGGAAGAAAAAUACAUAAUGAUCCCGAUAACUAUUUACAAGUGAUGCAAAAUCACAUCUAGACAUAAACAUGCGUUCCAAAAUACUGACUACAUGAUCUAUGAAAUUAAUCAUACUAACAAACUCUAUAUUGUAGCUCUGAUCCAAAAAUCAAGGCUCAACUCUAAAAGAUGUGCAGAUACUCAACUGCUGCCUGAUAAGAAAAAUGUGGAAAAAUAUAUGAGUUGAUAACUCAAUAAGUAGAGAAGUUCAAAGAUAAUUAUACUUUUUUAUGUAUAUAUUUUUAUCGAAAAUUAAGUUCAUAUUAUUUGAUAAUUCACAAGCUAAAAUCACAUAAUUAUAGCCAAAAAGUGAAACAUUCACAUAAGGUCUUAAAAUAUCAUCUCAAAAGCAUGAUAUAAACAUUAGCUCAUAAUGCAUUGAAAAAUUAUCAAAAAAUGUACCCUCUGAUUGAAAUAUGUAAUCUGCCCCACAGGCUAAGAACUUUUGCCAUGGGCCUUUGGCCCUUCCGUGAAUGAAAGCGGGUCUCAAAGACAUCUCAUAAUCAAUUUUAGAAUACGAUCAAGGUCCCUCAUUGAACUAUAUGUACAUGGUCGAGACCCUUUCAUCACCGGUCAAGACAUCUCAGUGUAGUAUAGAAUACGGCCAAGACCUCUUAAUGAACUAGAAGAAAUACAUAAUCAUGAGUACUUUUCUGAUCGAUCUCAAUAUUACAUGUCUCAUAUUCCAAUUCACAAAUGUACUAUAUAUAAUCUUUGAAAUUUCACAUGUAUUUAAAAGAAACUUUCAUGGUAAUCACAUUAUUGAAAAAAUAAUUCAUGUAGUUGCACAUAAUUUAAUAUUAUACUUAAUUUAUAAAUACUUUGAAAAUAUUAAAGUAUUUUCUACUCACUGGACUAUGUACGCCAAAAUCAACUCGGUUGAUAAGUUGUCUCGAUAUCCAUAUUGCCGCUUGAAAUAUGAUAUAAUUUUUAAAUCAACAAUUAACUAUUUUAAGUAAUUUCAAUAAUUAAAUAGGCGAUACCCAAACUUAAUCAUUUCACGUUUAAGUUAUCUUUUGAAGUCUCUUUAAUCGCUAAAACUAAUUUUUCUUUCAUUUAACUUAAUUUCAUAGCUUAUUAUACUUCCCUUCAAUAAAAUUCAAUGUAAUUUAACAACUAUAAAAUUAAACAUGACUUGAGAAUAAGUAACUUUUUACUUACUUUUCAAAAUUGAGGAAUUCAAGUUUAAUAGUGUGAAACACUUAAUUCCUAACAUGUUGAUGAAAUUUUUCUUUUUUUUUUUCUUUCUCCUUCCUCUUCCUUUUCCCCCCUUUUGCUCUCUCUCUCUCUCUCUCUUUAUUUAUUUUUAUUUUUUUUCCUCUCUGCUUUGGCUUCUCUCGAUUUUGGGUGUUUGUCUGUGCAAGAAAUGGAUUUGGAUUGUAUCUAUACAUAUAUAUAAAAGGAAAUGGAUUGGAAUGACUUAGGUGGAUAUCCAACGCCAGCCAAUCCAUAUUUUUAGUUGUUUUUAGAUUUUUUUUUUUGUAUGACAUCUUUGACAUUAAAAAAAAAAAAAAACCAAUGUAUUACAAAGUACUUGUUCACGGAUCCAACAAAAUAUAACAAACUUGUAGAAAUCCGUGUUGAAUGGUAAGAAGGUCGUUUUGCCUGUGAUUUGGUAGAUGUUUGCCUUUAUUUUGUGAUUUCCAAAGUGGGAAUAUCAUAUUCACCUUUUUAAAGUUGAAUUAAACUACUUUGCCCGAAUUUUUUUGACAUAAUAGUUGACAUCUUUCACAUGCGCGAGGGUGCCGCGUGAAUAAAAAAGGACCCCCUCCCAUUGUGAGUGUCGAUCAGCCAUCUCAAUCAAAUUCGGGCAGCAUAGCAAGAUAUUGGCGUACUGAAAUUUUCUACUUCUGCUUUGUUGAUGCAAAAGCCUACGAAAAAGAGAGUACGAACCUUUGCUCUGGCUUUAUUUUGUUUGAAAGUUUCAACCUUUGCUUUGUGUUUAUUUUUCGAAAAAUUGAAACAUAUUCACUCUUAUUAAUCUCUCUCUCUCUCUCUCUGCUCAGCGUUUCACCCAAACCAACAAUACUGGAUGGAUUGCUCGUACAAAAUGGAAAAGCUGUCACACCUAAUCGAAAGCCCAGAUCUCGUUUCCCGUAUGCAAAAUUUAAAGCUUGAUGGAGAAAAAAACGUAAGCUUUCAAUGGCUCGGGCCACAUUUUUUAGCUUUUCUCAGAUAUAUAGAAUGCUCGUGGUCUGAGCACAGGGGAAUUGAGGAUCUGUUGAAGCAUCUGGAUAAGUCAGCCUUAGAUUGCAUCUUAUAUGGAGAGAACGAAAGUUACAAAGAUUUUUUAGAAAAUAUUAUCUCUUUCAUGCCACAGACUAGAGACUUCUUCACAAGUCCAUACCUGUUGUCAGAUAGUGUUGAAUACAUCCCUCCCUACAGAAUCUUCUUCCUUCUUGACACUAUCGGUUCAUUGCUUAAUUGUUGCGGAAUGGAUUCCAGUCUUCUUGUGCAUAAUCAAGUCAAAGUUCUUCUGAAGGACCUGAAAUUUCUGUACUUUCUUUCUGUUGAUAUAGUACAAUGCAGCAACGGAGGACAUGGAGAGUUAGCUGCCGUAAUUAAUGCAAUGGGAGAACAGGCAGAUAGUAUUUUCGUUGAAUUCGAAGCUGUAUGUAAAGAAGCGGGACUUUUCUUGCAUUCGUUCUUUUUCACCACAGACCUUGUUACCAUGACCGAAAUGGAUCUGGCAAUUUCUGUUCUGUUAGAAAGAACUGAGAUUGUGAAAGUGAAGAUCAAAGAUUACUGCACUGUAGUCUAUAUGAAGAUGAAUUGUGGAAUUGGACGCCGACAAGUUGCAGAAAGUCCCAGUGAAGUAUCAUCAUUCCAAGAUAAAAGCAUUCCCAUGGCAGAUGAGUUGAUUGUGGGCAUAGAGGACAUGUCAACACAAGUUACAAGCAAGCUUCUUGGAGGACCGAGCUACCGCCUGGUUAUUUCCAUUGUUGGAAUGGGUGGACUUGGCAAGACCACUUUAGCAAAGAAAAUAUACAAUGAUUCCAAUGUGCAGUACUACUUUGAUAAGCUUUCUUGGUGUGCUGUUUCUCAAACUUACCAGAAGAGAAAGCUGUUGGUUGACAUUUUGAGCUCCUUGAGUAACCUUGACAGCCAUGAAAUUUCAGAAAUGGAUGAUGAAGACUUGGCUGAACAUCUUUACAGAACUUUAAUCGGUAGAAGAUACCUCGUUGUUAUAGACGAUAUAUGGGAUACCCAUGCCUGGGAUGAUCUGAGAAGGAACUUUCCAGAUGACAAAAUUAAUGGAAGCAGAGUAUUGCUCACUAGUCGGUUGAAAAAUGUAGCAUUAGAAAUUUCACAUGUUGUCAUGGAGCCUCUUCCCCUAUCACCAAGUGAAAGUUGGAAUUUAUUAGAGAAGAAUGUGUUCAAGAAAGAACGUUGCCCACAAGAACUGCAAGAUAUUGGAAAGCAAAUUGCAACAAAAUGUCAAGGACUUCCUCUCUCAAUCAUCAUGAUAGCUGGAGUUCUUUCAAGUAUGGAGAAGAUUGAAAGUUUGUAGCUAAAAGUUGCAGAAAGUUUAAGUUCUUACAUUUCCCAAAAAGCCGAUGAAUACAUUCCCAUAUUGAAACUCAGUUACAUGCACUUACCAAAUCACUUGAAGCCAUGUUUCCUCUAUCUUAGUGCAUACAAGGAAGACGAGGAGAUUCGACUUCGGAAGCUAUUAUUACUAUGGAUAGCUGAAGGAUUCAUAGAGAAAAGGGAACACAAAAGCUUAGAAGACGUAGCAGAGGAGUAUCUAGUGGAACUUAUUAACAGGAGCCUGCUGCAAGUUUCCAGAAGAAGAUCUGACAAUGGAGUAAAAGCUUGUAGUAUUCACGAUCUAGUACUUGAUAUGUGCUGGAAAAUCGCUGAAGAAGAGAAAUUUCUGUUUCGACAGUAAGUUAACCCUCUCUCUUUCUAAUCCUAUAUCAUUUUAAUUUUCUUUUCCAAUUUAGCCCACUAAUUUGCGGUAGCAUGUCCAUGAUGUUGCUGAUGCUGAUGGUGGUGCUGAUGCUGGUUGAUGCGUUUGUAAACUGAUGAUGAUCCUCCAUGUUCUUACUUUGCUAAUUCUUUAGUCAAUUCUUGGUAUAUAAGCAUUUUCAUCGAUUCUUUAUGCAUUGGUCUCAUCAACUCUCCGAGGACUCAUCCACUCUUUACAAUUCGGAAAAUAUUAAGAUCUUUGAUAGACUGUUUGAAGAGAAAACCAGUAUUAGUAUUAUGCCUGACUUGAGGUACUUGAAUAUUGACUCAUUAGAGUUAUCAAUAAACAGUCACCAGAACCUAGAAUUUGUGUGUGUAAAUUUUCUAGAUUCUAUACCAACAUACCUUCUCAAGAUGCCUAAGUUGAGACAUUUACAAGUUGGAUCGUCACGUUACCCUCUACGUUUCCAGAAGAAGUAUUAUAGCUCAGAUAUCUCCAUAAUAAGUAGCCUACAAACCCUUCGUUAUGUUUAUAUUGACGACUCAAAAAUUGAAGAAAUCUUGAGAAGUUUACCAAAUCUACGUAAGCUUAAAUGUACAUCUCCACACAAUAUUUGUCCAAAUCUCAGCUCUCUUACUCAUCUUGAAUCACUCACAAUGGCUCUUAAAAGAGGAUUCGAAGGUGAUUACUCGGUGAUUAACUUCCCCUCGAAUAUAAAAAAGCUGACUCUUUCGAAAUUGGCUUUGCCUUCAAAAAAGACGUCCUUAAUUGGGACAUUACCAAACCUGGAGAUUCUGAAAUUAGAUGAAGCCUUUGAAGGACAAAUCUGGAACACAAAGGAGGAUGAGUUCCAAAAACUCAAUUUCCUUCAAGUAAAAUGGUCAGAUCUUGAACAAUGGAAUUCAUCACAUGAUCACUUCCCUGUACUUGAAAGAUUGCUGUUGUUUGAUUGUGAAAAAUUGGAGAUGAUUCCUUCUGAAUUUAGCAACAUUCCAACACGACAGAAGAUUGAGGCAUAUCGUUGUGGUGAAAAUGUUGAAAGUUCAGCUUUGCAAAUUCGAGAAGAGCAACUGGAGUAUGGUAACCAAGACUUUGAGGUGACAAUCAGUAAAUGAUCGUUACAUCAACCUUUUUUCCCCCCCUCCAGAAUUUACCUAAUUCCUUGACAUCCAACACUCACAUGGUGAGAAAAAUGAUACAACUCCCUGCUCCAUGUCAAUUGUCAGUUGUUCUUAUUCAUAGUAUUUUCUUUGUAAUGAAAGUCAAAUUUUGACUUCUAUGUAAAGUUAAAUAAUGGUUCUAUUGCAAAUUGUGCAAUAUUAUGGUUAAUAUGACAAGUGGUCGGAUCUUGAUCUCAACCUUGAAUAUUUUGCCUUGUUAUUUUCCUUUUAGGUCUUUCUCUACUACUGUAUUUUUCCAUAAUCAACCAUUAUAUGUGUGAAAUGAAAUUCAUUUGCUUUUAACUAAUUUAUUUUUUUUGCAUAAUACCCCAUCUAAACUUAGGAAAAUAUUAAAAUCAGCAUUACGUGUAAUGCGCUCGUUCUAGCAUUAUUUCAAACGUAAAGUAAUUAUAACAUUACCUUUUUUCAGCAAUAUCCCAAAACUUAGGGCCUCUGUUUUCGUUCAAGUUUCAUAAUGAUAAAUGUUUUAUUUAUUUAUUAUUAUUAUUAUUUUGAUGAUUGUUCUGCACCUUGGUGAGAUGCCACACGACAAUGUGCGACUCAAUCGAACUAGGCCAUACAAACUGACUUUCUGAUCCAAGUAGAUUAGGUAUAACUCCAAGUAAUCUACUUCUAGAGCCUAGUUCAAUCCAUUGCUUUCCAUUCCGAGUGAUUACAAAAAAGCUACUUGGAUUGUGAGUUUCUAGCCAUUGCUUGACAUUUAUUUGCCUCAAAUUUAGAUUGUCUUACUAACGGAAGAGAACAUAAGAAUUAUUUUGUCGAAUUCUUCAAAUUGAGUUGUCUUGCAUUUUUAAUAAUUCUCAAUUACCCACCAUUUGUUGCACAUCGGGAUAAAAAAAAAAAAGGAAAGAAGAGAAGUCGACUCUUCAGGUAUUCUGAAUUAUCUAAGUCAAAUAUUUCAAAAUGUUUGCACAAAUAGAAAAUCAUGUGCAGUUUUCAUGGCCUGUAAAAUUGACACACAUCUUCCAAACGCAAAAGAACGAGGUUACUAGCUUAAUUUGAAUAUACAAGCUUUAAGCUGCCAAAUUCACUUUUGCUCUUGGGGCAAUGUAAAACCAAAAUUUAAGGUACAGAUACCUCAAUUUGAUAGAAGAUGCUGCAGUUUCAGGUGAAGCUGUUGAAAAUCAAGAACCUUUAACAUAUGAAGAAGUCAUUGAUUGUUUUGAAUCAAAUUAGACUGCAAGUUAUGAGAGAAGAAAUAUAUUCUUCAAUAAAGAAUAAGAAUUGGACACAUGUGAAUAAACUUAAAGAAAGGGUCCCCCCUGCAAAUAGAAGGAAAGAUAUCAUAAAUCAAUGCUAACAAACGGCUAAAUGAAAGCAGGAACGCAAUCAACGUAGUGAAUGGUGGUGGUGGUAGAGAAAGAGGAAGAUGAAAUGAAUUUUUUUUAUCGUUUUAAUUUUUUAAUUAUUUAUUUGGGACUCAUUUGUAAUUUUUUGAAAUUUUUGGGACCAUGGUUGUAAUUAAUUUUUAUUUUCUUCUUUUUGUUUUAUUUAAAUUGGGGGGGAGAGGGGGGUGCAUAUUCAUCGUUUCAUAAUUUUUUAUUAAGAAAAUAGANNNNNNNNNNNNNNNNNNNNNNNNNNNNNNNNNNNNNNNNNNNNNNNNNNNNNNGAUUCCCUACUAGAUGUUUCAAACUAGGAUGUUUUGUGAUAUUUCCAAAAGAUAGGGGGUUUUCAACAAUUUUGUCAAUUGGUAAGGGGUAUUUUGUUGUUUGGCCUUUAAGAAAUAAUAAACCUCAUAUAAUUUGCUCAACUAAUAAGACUGUAAAAUUCGAAGAAAGAGGUAAAUAAACCUAGCGAUAAGGCUCAGCCAAUAAGACUGGUGGAUAAAAUUGAAAAAGGGAAAGUUUCAUAUCUAAGAGGUUAAUUAUAACACAUUUCAAAACUAAGAAACAAGUUUUAAAACUUUAAAAACCAGAUAUUAUUAAAACUUAUUUAUGAAAUAAUUAAUUAAAAAUAUAUUUUAUUAAUUAAAUAUCUUAAAAUCACAUUUCUAUAUAAUUUGAUCACAGAUUAUUGAAUUAAUUGGCCGUGAAUUAUUUUUCGAUCACGAAUAAAAUUUUUUAAAAGUCUCAAAUUAUUUCACAAUCACAAAUUAAAAAUAAAUAAAUGAAAUUGAGAAGGUGAAAUCACGGAUAUAUUAAAGAAAUCAAAUAUACCAAUGAUUAAAAAAAAAAAAACCCAAAGGUUGUUGGGGAAAAAAAACUAAAUUAAAAUCAAACAAUCAAUCAAUAUUCAAUUCAAGACACAAGAACAAAAACCCAAAUUGUAAAAUCGAAAAAGAUGAGAAGAUCAAAUCAUGGACAUUAAAGAAAGCAAAUGUACAAAUCGUAAAAAAAAUCCCUAAGAUCUACGACUAAAGAAGACUAAAUGAAAAUAAAACCAUCAAUUGAGAUUCAAUUCAAGGCAUAAGAACAAAAACCUAGAUUGUAAAACCGAAAAAGAAAAAGAAAAAACAAACCACAUUGAAAAUGAAAAAGAAUCUUGAAAAUUUUGUGCGAGCACACUUCAAAGAAAAUUAAAAAAUUAUUUUGACAUGAAAAAUAUAAAUAACAAAAUACUAAAAACUCACCAGCUAAAAUCACUUCGAUUUUCAAGAAAACAGAAAGUUCCAACUCUCUCUUCUAAAAAAUAGAUCUAAACUUUGAUAGAGAGAAAUAUAAAUGAAUAAAUUCGAGUGUGAGAAAUUGGAACUAAGCGCCAAUAAAGUAAAGAGGCAUGGGUCUAGAGUAAAGAAUAACUAUCGUUGCGUGGAGUAAUGGAGAAAAAACUAACAGAAGACAAUUAAAUGGAUUAAAAUACGCAAUGAUGUGGUGCUUAAUCUUAAGAAAUGGCUUCAAAUAUGCCUUCUUUUGGUCUUAAAAAGAGAAAUUUGGUUAAAAUAUGAUGUCAGCAUUACAUCAUGAUGAUGCCUCAUGAAUAGGAAUGAACUUUGCCCUUUUAUAUAUUGUAGGGAUUUUAACUUGAGAAGAAGAUGGUGAUCCAUUGGAAAAGGAUCUCAAAGAAUUUGAUGAUCUCAUAACAGGACAAAUAGAUUCAGAGAGUGCAGGCCAAGCAAAUCAAGUAUUGAUAAAAACAGAACAUAAAGGCUUAUAACUCGAGUCGAGAGAACAUAGAAGCUACUCCGUGUCACAAAAAGAACAUAUAAACUGCAAAAUAAAUUAGCGUGUCCAACCACAUUAACAAAACUUCAAGAACAUACUUCAAAUAGAAAUGAGCAAAGAACGGAGAUGUGAACAAUGAUACAGUUUUACAUCACACCACACAAAUUCAUGUCGAUCAAAAAUGUUUCACAGCAAACUCUGUUGAUAUAGAUUCAAAGCAACAGAAAUCAGAUAAAAAGAAAUGGAAUGGACAUAAGGGUUUUGGCAUGUUGAAAGGAUCACAUAGCAGUUCGAAUAAAUCAAAUAAACAGAACAAACCCCUAAAUUAAACAAAAGCACUAGAAAAUUUUAUUGGACUUGAAGAAAUAGAAGGCAGUGAAGGUCUUUGGAGAAAUGCCAUGGCUUCAUUGUGACGACGGCGACAAUUAUAGAACUGAUUACAGAAAAUGAGCUCGAAUCUUGCAUCAUCUUGUUCUGUAAUGGUUGCAUCUAAAAUAGUUUCAAAUAAUUAGAAAUUUAUCAACUUUAUACUAAAAAAUUCAAAAUCAUCUCAGAGAUUAAAGAUCGAAACUAUAUGCAUAU